rnacentral:rRNA from 1 species
UACGGGGGGGGUAAGCGUUGUUCGGAAUUACUGGGCGUAAAGGGCUCGUAGGCGGCCAACUAAGUCGGACGUGAAAUCCCUCAGCUUAACUGGGGAACUGCGUCCGAUACUGGAUGGCUUGGAUUUGGGAGAGGGAUGCGGAAUUUCAGGUGUAGCGGUGAAAUGCGUAGAUAUCUGGAGGAACACCGGUGGCGAAGGCGGCAUCCUGGACCAAUAUUGACGCUGAGGAGCGAAAGCCAGGGGAGCAAACGGG